AUAACAGUUAGAAAUGACUGCUAAUACCGCAUAAGACCACAGCACCGCAUGGUGCGGGGGUAAAAACUCCGGUGGUAUGAGAUGGACCCGCGUCUGAUUAGCUAGUUGGUAAGGUAACGGCUUACCAAGGCGACGAUCAGUAGCCGACCUGAGAGGGUGACCGGCCACAUUGGGACUGAGACACGGCCCAAACUCCUACGGGAGGCAGCAGUGGGGAACAUUGCACAAUGGGGGAAACCCUGAUGCAGCGACGCCGCGUGAGCGAAGAAGUAUUUCGGUAUGUAAAGCUCUAUCAGCAGGGAAGAAAAUGACGGUACCUGACUAAGAAGCACCGGCUAAAUACGUGCCAGCAGCCGCGGUAAUACGUAUGGUGCAAGCGUUAUCCGGAUUUACUGGGUGUAAAGGGAGCGUAGACGGAUGGGCAAGUCUGAUGUGAAAACCCGGGGCUCAACCCCGGGACUGCAUUGGAAACUGUUCAUCUAGAGUGCUGGAGAGGUAAGUGGAAUUCCUAGUGUAGCGGUGAAAUGCGUAGAUAUUAGGAGGAACACCAGUGGCGAAGGCGGCUUACUGGACAGUAACUGACGUUGAGGCUCGAAAGCGUGGGGAGCAAACAGGAUUAGAUACCCUGGUAGUCCACGCCGUAAACGAUGACUACUAGGUGUCGGGUGGCAAAGCCAUUCGGUGCCG
rnacentral:rRNA from 1 species